ensembl:lncRNA
UGCUGGGGGUUUCUGCUGCUUGUGUCUGACGUGAGUACAGUAACCCUGAACUCAGCAAAGGUGACUGCAUGCACAAGCCCUACAUUGUAAGAUUACACUGUAAGCCAAAUCCCAGCAUGUCCCUUACUGAGAAGCUACUGACAGUGAACAUGGGGAUGGAGAAUCACUUGUGGAGAUGUAAAUACUGGCAGGUCACCCAUCCUCUAGUGGAUGCUCCAUACUCGUGCAUGUAUGAGUUACACUAACUAGACUAGUAGGUUAUUGUUAAAGACAGUUAAGUGGGGGUGGGGGAGAAAUAGGGAGGGCUGGAAGGAGAAAGCAGUGGAUACACAUGGUUAUCUUUUAUUGUAUAUGUAUAUGACACUCUCAAAAGUAAGAAAUAAGCCAACUUGGAGAAUGGUCUGACCUAUGAUUACAAUAUACUUAUACCUACCUUCUGAAUAGGAAAAACAAAAUCAACCCUAACAUUUGCUAUUCUAAAACUAUUUUGAAAAUACUUCAAAGCAAAAAGAACACAUACUCAGGAUUGUGAGAACACAUCAGAGAGCAACAUAGACAAAAGAGACAAAAUCAGUUUAAAACUGGCUUAGUUCUGAGGAGGUGGCUGAGUGGGGAGCCCACUUGCUGUGCAAUCAUGAGGAAUCAAGUUUCAUUCCCUGGGAAUGACUGAGUACAUCUCUAGAGAAAAUAUCUUCAGUAUUGUACCGGUCAAUUAAAAAGCCCAUGGCCUAUAGUUUAGGCAGGAAAUGGAAGGUGGGACAUCAGGAGGCAGAAAAGAUUCUGGGAUAGAGCCAGAAGCAGAUUUGCCCAGGAAAAUGUGACUAGACAGGCGCAAGGUACCUCAGCACAGGUAACCAGCCACAUAGCAGAAUGUUAGAUUAAAAGAAAAGGGUUGUCUUUACUUACGAUCUAGUCAGAAAAGAGCUUAGCAAUAUGGCUAAGGUAUUUGAAAAUAUAUUUUGAGUCUUAUUUCUGGGAACAUGAGGCUGAAAGGAAGAACCAGAUCCAACUUCUACAGUGUCUCUAUACUCAACAAGAGUAAAGAAAUGCUUCUGCCGGCUGCCUGCCCAGCUCCAGGCUCAGUGAGACCCUGUUGUGAGGGGACAGAGUGAUAGAGCAAGAUACCCAAUAUAUUACUUUGUUCACUUUGUGAGCACCACCAACCAUACCAGCAACACACAAACAAUGCCCCCCAAUGCACACUCAUCCACGCACACAUUUUUUUUUCAUGAAAAAUGAGCGUAUACACAAAAUGCUUAUAAUCAGCCAAAUAAAACCAACAAGACUAUUCCAAUAUUCACAAAGCCAUUUUCUUUAACUACCAUUAAACAUGAUUGAAAAACAAGACAUUUAUGCAGGGGCUUGAGGGACGGAUGAGCAGUUAAGAAUACUUACUGUUCAAUCAUGAAGACUAGGAUUUCCAUCCCAUGACACAUCAAACAUGUCACAAUGUCUGCAAUGCAUCUCCAAAGCAUUCUAGCCUCCAUGGGCAUAUGUCGACAUAUGCUUACAUGCUCGCACACAAAUACUAAAUGCUUUUUAAAAAUGUUUAUGUGGAAUGGCAAACUUCAAAUAUCAAUUCACCAAUGAAUCCAACAUAAUUUACAAUGAGAAGCAUCUACCUUAUUUGAUACAAAAAGACCUCACUCAUUAAAUUAACACGUGAUUACUUUAAGGAAUCUCACAAAUGUAAAAUGUACUUUCUAUUCCUGUCAGCUUUUUUCAUAUGUAGGUCUUACUGGUUUGCAGUUCAUGCGUUUAAGCUGCCAUUCCACAUUACUCAAUGCUCUGCUUACUGCUUGCUUCUGUAGAGUAAAUUUAAAGACAAGGCAAGAGAUGGACUCUUAAACAGGAGCUAAUGACAGUGAGUGUGGAAGCACGCAUUUCAUUUUAAACAUUCAAAAGCUACAAGCUGGAAGAUUAACAGUUUCCUGUCAACCUGGGAUACACAACAAAGCUUUUCUAGGGGGAAAAAAAAACUAGAAAAAUAUUUAAGUUUUAUUUUUAUGUGUACAAGUGUGUGAGGGAGGAAUUGAUCUCCUGUAACUGAGUCACGUGCAGUUGUGAGCUCCGUGACAUGGUGCUGUGAAGCAAAUGCUCUUAAAGGCUAACUCAUCCCUAUAAGCCCCUGAAAUUUUUCAAUAAAUACAAAUACUAUACUGAUAACAUUCUCUUCAGAGUAUGCAUUUCCUGGAUCAUGCUACAAAAAAUAAUAAUAAUGUGUCCAGUCCUUCAUAAUACUGACAUUUAUCAGAUUAAACAUAAAAAAAUUCAAAGGACUUUUCCUUUAUUCGCUACUGCUCUAGAUUUUUCAAUGUUUUUCAACAGCAAAGGUUUUCAUCUGGUAUGCGUUUCCAUCUGUGCCAAAUGAAACCGUGAACAUCUCUUCUGAGAAGAUUAGCGCUCCGUAUCAAGUUCUUUCCUUGUGUGUUCACUGAACCAAAUGGUGUUCAUAUAGGUUUGUCCUGAUAGGAAUUCUCCCCAUGUACAUUCUUGUGAGUUCUAUGAAGCUGAUGAGAGUUCACAAAUCCUGUUUUUAAGGUUUCCCUACAGUAGGUUCUUUCAUGUCUAUAAGAGGAUGUGAUAACCCAAGACUAUCCAAGAUUGCCUAUACAUGAAGGGUUUCUCUCCACAGUGACUCCUUCCAAGUAUUCAGAGGGAAUAGGGAAGCAGAGAAGAGCUUUUCUACAACACCGCAUACACAUACAUAAAGUCUCUAUACAGCGUGAGUUUUCUUCUGUCUCCUCCAAGAUCUGGGACUGCACAAGGCUUUACCAUACUGCGUGUAGCCACAGGCCCAUUUCUCUUUGAUGUACUUCAAGGAGCUAUAAGCUCAAAAACUAUUUGUAUAUUUCAUUAUUUUUUUUAAAAAAGAUUUCUUCUCAACGUGACAUCUCAUGUGUUUCAAUGAAACAAACCAAAAGGUUUUUCUACAUUGCUAACACAAAUCCAGUCUUUUUCCAGUAUCAUUUUGCUUUUUCUAUGAAAGCCACCGAGCACAAAAAAAAAAAAAAAAAAAAAAAAAAAA